AAAUCACAAUGCGGAACUAUUAGUUUUGCAAUUGGAUUGAGAACAAUGUACAAAUGUUAUCGAUAAACAAUUGGAGGGCAAGUCUGGUGCCAGCAGCCGCGGUAAUUCCAGCUCCAAUAGCGUAUAUUAACGUUGUUGCAGUUAAAAAGCUCGUAGUUGAAUUGAAGUGAACUUGGGUUGAUGUGAUCUUCGGAUGACAUGAAUCAAAGUUGACUCUUUCCAAAGUCAAUACAUUGGUAUUCAUUUAUCUUUGUAUUGUGUUUGGUCAUUUACUGUGAGAAAAUUAGAGUGUUCAAAGCAGACGUUUGUUUGAAUACAUUAGCAUGGAAUAAUCAUAUAUGGCUUUCAUGUUGAUUUGAUUGGUUUGAAUAUGGAAGCAAGAUUAAAAGGGACAGUUGGGGGUAUUCAUAUUCAAUAGUCAGAGGUGAAAUUCUGGGAUUUAUGGAAGAUGA
rnacentral:rRNA from 1 species